GGACUAGUGUUUCGGUGUUGAGACGCGGAGUAACAACAGGAGACGGAGGCCGCUCUGCGGGCAGGAGACGGAGGCCGCUCUGCUGGACUGGGAAGGCGCCGUCUUGGAGUGGCGGAACGUCAAGGAAGGAAGGGAGGGGUAGGGAAGAAGGAGGAAAGGACGGGUGGAAUCUGCCGGCGAUCGAGCGCACGGCUCGACGCUGCUCACAAAACGGCUGAGCUACCCAAAGACGGCCGUCGCGAGAAAAGACCUGGUAAGCGUGACCUCGACGCUGCUGCCUCCACGUGCGGCGUCCCACGACGUUGACUGCUACGAAGUUGGCCGUCCCUUUAGACGAUGUUAGCUACGUCUAAAAACAAUGUUGGUUCGCCCGCGCAGGUGGAGGGUGCUGCGACGAUACCGCUCGGGGAGCAGAGGUGGACGGGGGCAAGACGAGGCUACUCACUGCGCAGAGGUGGACACGACCUUGCCGCCGAGGUAGCACGUGAUCGAAUACUCUACGGCCUUAGCCGGCACCACCUUCGGCGUCAGCUACCGUAAAAAACGAUGUAGACCAAUGAUGAAAACGACCUUAAUCGUUGUAAAAAACGAUGUUAGGUGUAAAAUUUCACGAAAAACGACCUUGCCGAGGGUUUAAAACGAAGGUACCAAAACAAAAAACGAUGUUGGCAACGUAGGGGACAGAAAAACUAAAAAAAAAAGAGGUAGGUAGAAAUACGACCUUGCUAAGGUUCAAAACGAUGGUAGCAGAAAAUAAAAACGGUGGAGGCGGAAUCAAAAACGAUGGUAGGAAAAAAAACUAAAAAAACGUCCUAGGUAUUAAAACGACCUUGGUGAGAUUAAAAACGAUGGUGCCAGAAACUUAAAACGAUGGUGGCAGAAGCAGAAGUAUAAAACGAUGAUGGAACAAAAACUACACAAAACAAGCUAGGUAGAAAAACGACCUUAGUGAAGUUUUAAAACAAUGGCAGCAAAACAAAAAACGAAGGUGACGGAAACUAAACACGAUGGCGGACAGAAAAACUAAAAAACCUAGAUAUCAUAACAACCUUGGUCGAUAAAUAAGACAACUUUGGUCGCUAAAAAAACAAUCUUGUUGAAGAAAGGUCUGCCCCUGCUCGUAGCCGUCACUCGGUUCAGCCUCCCCCUGAAGUUAAACAGUCGCCCUGCCCGCGUCCCGUGCCGGAACGCUCACCUGCAGAAAAAAAAAGCAUGCCGCUUCCUUUUUUUACAACGCCCUAGGUUAGCUCGCCAACACCUACAUACAUAGCCCGCCGACCCCCGGCUGGCCGGCUUUCAUAAGCCGGCCGCGUGGCCGCGGAUCACCACCGGAAACUCCUUAUCGAAACCUGUUCCAAAAAGCCUGCCUCCCUCAUCCUUCAAAUAACGAUCAAUAAAGAAAACUUGCCUGCCUACGAUCGAUCGAUCGAUCUCGGAGUUCAACAACUCGGCCCAGACACACAACCUGUGCGUCUCGUAGAGGAGGCGGAACUGCGAGAACAUGGCGCCGCCCGGCGAGGGCAGCUGCUGGUGGCCCCGCGUGUGGCAGCGCGGCAGGCGGGACUUCUUCGUGCGGUGGCUGUGGGCGCCGGGGUGCGAGGACCUGUGGUGCGCCACGUGGCCCGAGAACUUGGACAGCAACCUGUGGUCGACGUCCUUCAGCGGGUGCAAGUGGUGGUCGCUGCGGAGGGGGCAGCGGCCGUGCAGGUGGGUGCGGCUUGCGAGCGGCGGCGGCAGGAGCUCCCCCAGCAGGUGCUCGUGGACCUCCGGCGGGUGCGGCAGGACCUCGUCGUGCCACUCCUUCGACCCCAGGCUCACGCCCUGCCACGGGUAGCACUCCACGCCGAGGCCCGUGCGGCCCAUCAUCACCGGGCGGUGCGAGUCGCGGCGGUACGUCGGCCGGAGGAGGAGGUCCAUCCGUGCCGCUCCGUCGGGGUCCCGGAGGCUGUCGUCGAGCUUCUCCGGCGCGGGGUCGGCGGCGUAGACGGGGCACAUGAGGCCGCGCUGCGGGGAGUCGCGGCCGCCCUCCUCCUCGAGGAGGAGGCAGAGGAGCGGGCGGCGGCCGGCCAGGCGCAGCAGGUACAUGUGCCACAGCGCGGUGAACGGGUGGUCGCAGACCUUGUCCAGGCGCAACGUCGACAUCGCGUGCGCGGAGCGGCGGAGGGCGCACAUCAUGCCGCGGAACCGGAGGCGGCCGAGGAGCAACUUCGCGGCGUGGCGGCGGUCGUAGGGGUUGUACCGGCGGAGGCCGUGCGGCACCAAGCAGUCGUCCUUCUUCGGGUGGCAGAGGCGGCGCCGGGAGUGGCGCGGCUGGUGCAGGCUCGCGACCGUCCUCUCCAGCUGCUGGCCCUGCCGCUGCAGCCACCGCUCUCACCUGCCCCGCUUCCGCAGCCCACCCACCACCUUCUACCGGCCCUACCGCCACCGCGGCCGCAGCUGCUCCGGGAACUGCGGCCGGAACCACAGCAGCUUCCGGGCCUCGCGCGACUCCGCCAGCCUCCGGUAACGGCGAGCUACUUCCGUCGAUCGGUCGAGAGUGUCAGCCACACGACUGUGCGCAUACAUACAUAUCCUCAUUCCGACCACUACCCACUCACUAGCUAGCCACAGUACGUUCCACACGUACAGAACAGACAUAGCUACCACCGCGCACUCGUACGCACGUAGUUAACAGAACAAACGCACGGGGUAGCUGUACUGAAAAUGGAUCAUCCUCAUAUUGUUGUGAUCAUCUCAUCCUCGUACCUACAGCUGUGGUAGCAGAAACCUAUGGAAGACUUUCCCGCUACUAGACGCGGCCGGA
rnacentral:rRNA from 1 species